UGUGGCUUAGUGGCAGAGCACUUGCCUAGUAUGUGCAAGACCCUGGGUUCAAUCCCCAGCA
rnacentral:tRNA from 1 species